rnacentral:rRNA from 1 species
CUGUGAGCUCGAUGAGUAGGGCGGGACACGUGGUAUCCUGUCUGAAUAUGGGGGGACCAUCCUCCAAGGCUAAAUACUCCUGACUGACCGAUAGUGAACCAGUACCGUGAGGGAAAGGCGAAAAGAACCCCGGCGAGGGGAGUGAAAAAGAACCUGAAACCGUGUACGUACAAGCAGUGGGAGCACGCUUAGGCGUGUGACUGCGUACCUUUUGUAUAAUGGGUCAGCGACUUAUAUUCUGUAGCAAGGUUAACCGAAUAGGGGAGCCGAAGGGAAACCGAGUCUUAACUGGGCGUUAAGUUGCAGGGUAUAGACCCGAAACCCGGUGAUCUAGCCAUGGGCAGGUUGAAGGUUGGGUAACACUAACUGGAGGACCGAACCGACUAAUGUUGAAAAAUUAGCGGAUGACUUGUGGCUGGGGGUGAAAGGCCAAUCAAACCGGGAGAUAGCUGGUUCUCCCCGAAAGCUAUUUAGGUAGCGCCUCGUGAAUUCAUCUCCGGGGGUAGAGCACUGUUUCGGCAAGGGGGUCAUCCCGACUUACCAACCCGAUGCAAACUGCGAAUACCGGAGAAUGUUAUCACGGGAGACACACGGCGGGUGCUAACGUCCGUCGUGAAGAGGGAAACAACCCAGACCGCCAGCUAAGGUCCCAAAGUCAUGGUUAAGUGGGAAACGAUGUGGGAAGGCCCAGACAGCCAGGAUGUUGGCUUAGAAGCAGCCAUCAUUUAAAGAAAGCGUAAUAGCUCACUGGUCGAGUCGGCCUGCGCGGAAGAUGUAACGGGGCUAAACCAUGCACCGAAGCUGCGGCAGCGACGCUGAUGCGUUGUUGGGUAGGGGAGCGUUCUGUAAGCCUGUGAAGGUGUGCUGUGAGGCAUGCUGGAGGUAUCAGAAGUGCGAAUGCUGACAUAAGUAACGAUAAAGCGGGUGAAAAGCCCGCUCGCCGGAAGACCAAGGGUUCCUGUCCAACGUUAAUCGGGGCAGGGUGAGUCGACCCCUAAGGCGAGGCCGAAAGGCGUAGUCGAUGGGAAACAGGUUAAUAUUCCUGUACUUGGUGUUACUGCGAAGGGGGGACGGAGAAGGCUAUGUUGGCCGGGCGACGGUUGUCCCGGUUUAAGCGUGUAGGCUGGUUUUCCAGGCAAAUCCGGAAAAUCAAGGCUGAGGCGUGAUGACGAGGCACUACGGUGCUGAAGCAACAAAUGCCCUGCUUCCAGGAAAAGCCUCUAAGCAUCAGGUAACAUCAAAUCGUACCCCAAACCGACACAGGUGGUCAGGUAGAGAAUACCAAGGCGCUUGAGAGAACUCGGGUGAAGGAACUAGGCAAAAUGGUGCCGUAACUUCGGGAGAAGGCACGCUGAUAUGUAGGUGAAGCGACUUGCUCGUGGAGCUGAAAUCAGUCGAAGAUACCAGCUGGCUGCAACUGUUUAUUAAAAACACAGCACUGUGCAAACACGAAAGUGGACGUAUACGGUGUGACGCCUGCCCGGUGCCGGAAGGUUAAUUGAUGGGGUCAGCGCAAGCGAAGCUCUUGAUCGAAGCCCCGGUAAACGGCGGCCGUAACUAUAACGGUCCUAAGGUAGCGAAAUUCCUUGUCGGGUAAGUUCCGACCUGCACGAAUGGCGUAAUGAUGGCCAGGCUGUCUCCACCCGAGACUCAGUGAAAUUGAACUCGCUGUGAAGAUGCAGUGUACCCGCGGCAAGACGGAAAGACCCCGUGAACCUUUACUAUAGCUUGACACUGAACAUUGAGCCUUGAUGUGUAGGAUAGGUGGGAGGCUUUGAAGUGUGGACGCCAGUCUGCAUGGAGCCGGCCUUGAAAUACCACCCUUUAAUGUUUGAUGUUCUAACGUUGACCCGUGAUCCGGGUUGCGGACAGUGUCUGGUGGGUAGUUUGACUGGGGCGGUCUCCUCCUAAAGAGUAACGGAGGAGCACGAAGGUUGGCUAAUCCUGGUCGGACAUCAGGAGGUUAGUGCAAUGGCAUAAGCCAGCUUGACUGCGAGCGUGACGGCGCGAGCAGGUGCGAAAGCAGGUCAUAGUGAUCCGGUGGUUCUGAAUGGAAGGGCCAUCGCUCAACGGAUAAAAGGUACUCCGGGGAUAACAGGCUGAUACCGCCCAAGAGUUCAUAUCGACGGCGGUGUUUGGCACCUCGAUGUCGGCUCAUCACAUCCUGGGGCUGAAGUAGGUCCCAAGGGUAUGGCUGUUCGCCAUUUAAAGUGGUACGCGAGCUGGGUUUAGAACGUCGUGAGACAGUUCGGUCCCUAUCUGCCGUGGGCGCUGGAGAACUGAGGGGGGCUGCUCCUAGUACGAGAGGACCGGAGUGGACGCAUCACUGGUGUUCGGGUUGUCAUGCCAAUGGCACUGCCCGGUAGCUAAAUGCGGAAGAGAUAAGUGCUGAAAGCAUCUAAGCACGAAACUUGCCCCGAGAUGAGUUCUCCCUGACUCCUUGAGAGUCCUGAAGGAACGUUGAAGACGACGACGUUGAUAGGCCGGGUGUGUAAGCGCAGCGAUGCGUUGAGCUAACCGGUACUAAUGAACCGUGAGGCUUAACCUU